GACGAACGCUGGCGGCGUGCUUAACACAUGCAAGUCGAACGGAAAGGCCCUGCUUUUGUGGGGUGCUCGAGUGGCGAACGGGUGAGUAACACGUGAGUAACCUGCCCUUCACUUUGGUAUAACUUCAGGAAACUGGCGCUUAUACCGGAUAGGAGCUCCUGCUGCAUGGUGGGGGUUGGAGAGUUUCGGCGGUUGGGGAUGAACUCGCGGCUUAUCAGCUUGUUGGUGGGGUAGUGGCUUACCAAGGCUUUGACGGGUAGCCGGCCUGAGAGGGUGACCGGCCACAUUGGGACUGAGAUACGGCCCAGACUCCUACGGGAGGCAGCAGUGGGGAAUAUUGCACAAUGGGCGGAAGCCUGAUGCAGCAACGCCGCGUGCGGGAUGACGGCCUUCGGGUUGUAAACCGCUUUCGCCUGUGACGAAGCGUGAGUGACGGUAAUGGGUAAAGAAGCACCGGCUAACUACGUG
rnacentral:rRNA from 1 species